GACGAACGCUGGCGGCGUGCCUAAUACAUGCAAGUCGAACGCAGUGGGGACGGGUGAGUAACACGUGGGUAACCUCCCAUCAGAGGGGAUAACACUUGGAAACAGGUGCUAAACCGAUACUGAUGGAUGGCCCCGCGGUGAAUUAGCUAGUUGGUGAGGUAAAGGCGCACCAAGGCCACGAUGCAUAGCCGACCUGAGGGCGUGAUCGGCCACACUGGGCCUGAGACAGUGCCCAGACUCCAUCGUGAGGCAGCCGUAGGGAAUCUUCGGCAAUGGACGAAAGUCUGACCGAGCAUCGCCGCGUGAGGGAAGAAGGUUUUCGGAUCGUAAAGCUCUAUUGUUAGAGAAGCGGUAUCUAACCAGAAAGCCACGGCUAACUACGUGCCAGCAGCCGCGGUAAUUC
rnacentral:rRNA from 1 species